AUACGAAGGGGGCAAGCGUUGUUCGGAAUAACUGGGCGUAAAGCGCACGUAGGCGGAAUGUUAAGUUAGAGGUGAAAUCCCAGGGCUCAACCCUGGAACGGCCUUUAAUACUGGCAAUCUAGAGACCGAGAGAGGUGAGUGGAAUUCCGAGUGUAGAGGUGAAAUUCGUAGAUAUUCGUAGGAACACCAGUGGCGAAGGCGGCUCACUGGCUCGGUUCUGACGCUGAGGUGCGAAAGCGUGGGGAGCAAACAGGAUUAGAAACCCCAGUAGUCC
rnacentral:rRNA from 1 species